rnacentral:rRNA from 1 species
GGAAGGAUCAUUAAUUGAAGAAUACUAUUAUCAUAGUUUUUCAACAUAUAAACCUCUUUGUUUACUUUAUACCAUAUUGCUUCCACUGGACAGGUUGGAUUUGUAUUUGACUAUACAUAUCGGCCCUUUAGCUUUUUUCUUUCAGGUUAUUAGCUGAGGAGUUGCCAGUGGAUGAAAACUGAAAACCGAAACCCUUGUAGAAAACAUCUAUUGUCUGAUUUUGACUUGAGAACAAAAAUAAAACUUUCAACAACGGAUCUCUAGGCUCUUGCAUCGAUGAAGAACGCAGUAAAAUGCGAUAAGUAAUGUGAAUUGCAGAAUCUCGUGAAUCAUUGAAUCUUUGAACGCACAUUGCGCCCUUCAGUAUUCUGUAGGGCAUGCCUGUCUGAGCGUCAUGGCUAACUAUCAGAUCUUUGAUUAUUCUUAGAUUUGGAUUUAUUCAGAGAUGUAAUCUAUAACCAAAAGAUUACCCUUUGGAAAAUUAAAGGCGGUUGUAGUGAAAUCUCGAUUAAGCGUGAUAGUAAAACAUUUCGUUUGGAGAGAUUGAGCUUUGGCUUGCCUAGAAUCCACUCAAUCCUUCUGGGUUGACCUCAGAUCAGGUAGGGAUACCCGCUGAACUUAAGCAUAUCAAUA